UUCAGAUACACUAUAUUCUAAAAUACCCUCUACAGAAAAUUCCCUAACUAUAUCUUAGAAAAGAAAAGAGGAGAAAAAAUUGAAGUUUUGGCCAAAUAAGAGAAAAAUCUUGGAAAUGUUGGCAAGGAUUUUUCCAUAGAUCUGCAAAAAGCUCCUUUAGAGAACCUUUUGGAAAUUAUUAUCAAAUGUCUGAUAUCAACUAGCACUCAUUGAAAUACCUUCUAUACCCAUAGCGUUGCAACAAGAAUGUGGGGCCAUUGAGGAAAAGGGGUGAGUUUUAAGAAAGAACUGAUAGACAAGCUCUCUGGUUGAAAAAGAGAAUUCAGAUUGAAUAAGAAUUCCAGACAGAUGGGGGAACAGUGUAUUCAAUUGCUCUAAAGAGUUCAGUAGUUCUGUGUGAUUUUAAUAUCUAAGGUUCACGGAUUAUGGGCAGGGUUACAACUGGAAGAUGAAGGACCCAGUGCCCCAUAUGGAAGAUACGGGCCUGUGUGAGUGAUGCUGGUGUCCUAAGCGGAAGGCACACAUUCAGAUUUGUCUCUUGGAAAGAUAACUCUUGUGUUGACGUGGGAGAGCGGGAGGGGGAGAAGAGAGAGCAAAGACCUCGCCUCAAAGAAGCUGAGGGUCUAAUAAUGUUGAUGAAGUUCACACUAAGCCAGAAUUCAGAAGAUAAUUGUCAUUAAAGAAUGCAAAGCUUUCCCAUGAUGCAUUGUUGCUGCCCAGAAUUCUGAGGUAGCUAAGGCUUCUAUAGUGACUGAAGACUUUCAGAUGAAUGCUUAUAGUGCAGUUUCCUCCAACAGUAUGACAAAUCCAAUACCACAAAAGCAUUGGGACUUACUUUUCUGGUGAGGAAGAUUGGCCCUGAGCUAACUGUUACCAAUCUUCCUCUUGUUGCUUAGGAAGACCGCUGCUGAGUUAACAUCUGCACCAACCUUCUGCUGCUCCAGCUAGGAUGCCACCACAGCAUGGCUUGAUGAGCAGUGACAGAGCAGUUGGGUCCUGUCUGGUAAAGCACUAAAUGAGGCUCUGUGGUCUGGUCGUCAACACACCUCAGCGACUUGGGCACUGGAGGGAAUCUGAUUCACGGAAAACGAAGAAUCAUUUCAAACUACCACAUAUAUGGACGUGAAAAUACAAUAAAUAAAUGUUUAAAUUAUCCUUGAGGAAAAUGAUCAACAAACUGUAAAUCUCUUCAUAGAUGAGUGUAAUGCUACAUGGUGUCAUUUCAUACAUGUUCUACUUUCUUCUUCCCACUGCUUAGACAUGGGGGUUAGCACAUGCAACUCACACGUAGAGCUUACAAAGGCAACCCCCUCAUUCCUCACAUGUUGACUGCAAUGAAACUCUGUGGGUUACGUUUCUAAUUAUUGCAAUUCUCUAAGCACUUUAUGAUGAGGAUUAAUUUAGGCUGGUUACUUUUAAAAACUGAAGAUUACAAAGAGGCUCUGAGGUGUGGAAUUUGCUUGCCCUUUGAUGAGACACAUUUGCAUUUGUGAAGGAAGUCUCCAUCUG